AUUGAACGCUGGCGGCAGGCUUAACACAUGCAAGUCGAGCGGUAACAGGAAUAGCUUGCUAUUUGCUGACGAGCGGCGGACGGGUGAGUAAUGCCUGGGAAUAUGCCCUGAUGUGGGGGAUAACUAUUGGAAACGAUAGCUAAUACCGCAUAAUCUCUUCGGAGUAAAGAGGGGGACCUUCGGGCCUCUCGCGUCAGGAUUAGCCCAGGUGGGAUUAGCUUGUUGGUGGGGUAAAGGCUCACCAAGGCAACGAUCCCUAGCUGUCUGAGAGGAUGAUCAGCCACACUGGGACUGAGACACGGCCCAGACUCCUACGGGAGGCAGCAGUGGGGAAUAUUGCACAAUGGGGGGAACCCUGAUGCAGCCAUGCCGCGUGUGUGAAGAAGGCCUUCGGGUUGUAAAGCACUUUCAGUUGUGAGGAAAGGUGUGUAGUUAAUAGCUGCAUACUGUGACGUUAACAACAGAAGAAGCACCGGCUAACUUCGUGCCAGCAGCCGCGGUAAUACGAGGGGUGCAAGCGUUAAUCGGAAUUACUGGGCGUAAAGCGUUCGUAGGCGGUUGAAUAAGCAAGAUGUGAAAGCCCAGGGCUCAACCUUGGAACUGCAUUUUGAACUGUUCGACUAGAGUACUGUAGAGGGGGGUAGAAUUUCA
rnacentral:rRNA from 1 species